rnacentral:rRNA from 1 species
CCUACGGGAGGCUGCAGUGAGGAAUAUUGGUCAAUGGCCGAGAGGCUGAACCAGCCAAGUCGCGUGAGGGAAGAAUGUCCUAUGGAUUGUAAACCUCUUUUGUCAGGGAGCAAAGUCACCCACGUGUGGGUGUUUGAGAGUACCUUAAGAAAAAGCAUCGGCUAACUCCGUGCCAGCAGCCGCGGUAAUACGGAGGAUGCGAGCGUUAUCCGGAUUUAUUGGGGUUAAAGGGUGCGUGGGGGGGUUAUCAAGUCAGCGGUAAAAUCGUGGAGCUCAACUCCAUCCAGCCGUUGAAACUGAUGAUCUUGAGUGGGCGAGAGGUAUGCGGAAUUCGUGGUGUAGCGGUGAAAUGCGUAGAUAUCACGCAGAACUCCGAUUGCGAAGGCAGCAUACCGGCGCCCGACUGACGCUGAAGCGCGAAAGCGUGGGUAGCGAACAGGAUUAGAUACCCGUGUAGUC